rnacentral:rRNA from 1 species
UCACCGAAGUCAAGCAUCAUUGGGCGCGGUCAGUACUUGGGAGGGUGACCACCUGGGAACACCGCGUGCCGUU